ensembl:lncRNA
CAAAAAUGUUCAAACCAUGAUGAAAGUUCAUGUAAACUAUUUCUCCCUUUUGGGAGUACAAGACAGUAUGCGACAUUAUGUCAGUCAGCCUCAGUUUACAACAGUCAAUGUUCUGUUGAACCUUAAAAAAACAUGCAUUUAAUUAUAUCUGCGCAAAAAUGCAACACUCUUUGAUACAUCAUUUAUUAUGUAAUUGGUCAUUUUCAGUUACAAUGAACAGCCGAUAUGCAAGAUACAGUAGUUGUCUUAAACUCAAAAGGUAUUACAUCCAAUGAAUUUCAUUUCAGCAGGGAGCCAAGGCAAUAAGACUUGUUGAAAUAGCACAGAGCUAAUUUAGACUUUAUAAUAAUUAUGUAACACUCCAUAAUUAUAUAUAUAUAAAAACGCCCAUGCACCCAUCCGCUGAGCCAAUCCAUACAUGUCCCUGAGAGGCUGUGUGCCUGAGCUAGUGCAUGUUUUCACUGUCAGAAGUUCCUAGUCUCUGGUUUCAGGAACAGAAGCGGCUCUUGAAUAGUGUGUGACUGCCUGGUGACGCAGAGAAUAGAACAACAUACAACUAUUACAUACAUAUCCUAACACCAGCCCACUUACCAUGACAGCUACUGAAAUCCAAACAAAGGUGACAUCACUUUAAGAACAAACUGUUCAUCACUUUGUUGGAAAAACAAGGACUAAUGGACAAGGGGGUCAACACUUGAUACCCUUUUGACUAUUAGAAAAAAUGUUUUCCCCUGUGACAAUAAUCCUUAAAAGGCUAUGUGAGUCUCCCACAUCAGUGAUCAUGGGUACACACCUAAUAAUAAAUAAAUAAAAUAUCAGUUACACUGGCAAAACCAUUUAAUUUAUAAAAACAAUAGAAAAACUACUUAAAUGAAAUGUACAUAUUCUUUACAUAAUUAGAAAGCACUGUCCAUGAGCUGCCACUUAUGUAAUCAAGAUGUGUGGUCAUUCAUAAACCUUUAGAAAACAUACACCCAACCGUAUAUACAGCACGACACACAAUAUCAAAUAGCAUUUAAAGAAAGUGCUAAUAUUAGUCUUUAAAAUGAGAUGCAAAUAUCUUUGCUAUUCUCUUGGUCUCUUCUUUCUUCAUGGACGACGGUGGUAUAUUGGGCCUGGGACGAGGAACGCGCCGACAGAGAAUCCCAUGUCUAAGAGAGCUCUUUUU